rnacentral:rRNA from 1 species
CCUACGGGGGGCAGCAGUGGGGGAUAUUGCACAAUGGGGGGAACCCUGAUGCAGCGACGCCGCGUGGGUGAAGGAGUAUUUCGGUAUGUAAAGCCCUAUCGGCAGGGAAGAAGCAAGACGGUACCUGACUAAGAAGCCCCGGCUAACUACGUGCCAGCAGCCGCGGUAAUACGUAGGGGGCGAGCGUUAUCCGGAUUCACUGGGUGUAAAGGGAGCGUAGACGGCCAUGCAAGCCAGGGGUGAAAGCCCGGGGCCCAACCCCGGGACUGCCCUUGGAACUGGAUGGCUGGAGUGCGGGAGGGGCAGGCGGAAUUCGUGGUGUAGCGGUGAAAUGCGUAGAUAUCAGUAGGAACACCGGCGGCGAAGGCGGCCUGCUGGACCGCGACUGACGCUGAGGCUCGAAAGCGUGGGGAGCGAACAGGAUUAGAUACCCUAGUAGUC